GACGAACGCUGGCGGCGUGCUUAACACAUGCAAGUCGAACGGAGAGGCCCUGCUUUUGUGGGGUGCUCGAGUGGCGAACGGGUGAGUAACACGUGAGUAACCUGCCCUUGACUUUGGGAUAACUUCAGGAAACUGGGGUUAAUACCGGAUAGGAGCUCCUGUUGCAUGGUGGGGGUUGGAAAGUUUCGGCGGUUGGGGAUGGACUCGCGGCUUAUCAGCUUGUUGGUGGGGUAGUGGCUUACCAAGGCUUUGACGGGUAGCCGGCCUGAGAGGGUGACCGGCCACAUUGGGACUGAGGUACGGCCCAGACUCCAACGGGAGGCAGCAGUGGGGAAUAUUGCACAGUGGGCGGAAGCCUGAUGCAGCAACGCCGCGUGCGGGAUGACGGCCUUCGGGUUGUAAACCGCUUUCGCCUGUGACGAAGCGUGAGUGACGGUAAUGGGUAAAGAAGCACCGGCUAACUACGUG
rnacentral:rRNA from 1 species